ACACAUGCAAGUCGAACGGUAGCACAGAGGAGCUUGCUCCUUGGGUGACGAGUGGCGGACGGGUGAGUAAUGUCUGGGAAACUGCCCGAUGGAGGGGGAUAACUACUGGAAACGGUAGCUAAUACCGCAUAACGUCGCAAGACCAAAGAGGGGGACCUUCGGGCCUCUUGCCAUCGGAUGUGCCCAGAUGGGAUUAGCUAGUAGGUGGGGUAACGGCUCACCUAGGCGACGAUCCCUAGCUGGUCUGAGAGGAUGACCAGCCACACUGGAACUGAGACACGGUCCAGACUCCUACGGGAGGCAGCAGUGGGGAAUAUUGCACAAUGGGCGCAAGCCUGAUGCAGCCAUGCCGCGUGUAUGAAGAAGGCCUUCGGGUUGUAAAGUACUUUCAGCGAGGAGGAAGGCGUUGUGGUUAAUAACCGCAACGAUUGACGUUACUCGCAGAAGAAGCACCGGCUAACUCCGUGCCAGCAGCCGCGGUAAAAGGG
rnacentral:rRNA from 1 species